rnacentral:rRNA from 1 species
AUGAAUUACGGUGAAAGCCGUAAGCCGCAAGGCAUCUGUGAAGGUGCUGCAUGGUUGUCGUCAGCUCGUGCCGUGAGGUGUCGGCUUAAGUGCCAUAACGAGCGCAACCCUUGUUGUCAGUUACUAACAGGUUCCGCUGAGGACUCUGACAAGACUGCCAUCGUAAGAUGUGAGGAAGGUGGGGAUGACGUCAAAUCAGCACGGCCCUUACGUCCGGGGCUACACACGUGUUACAAUGGGGGGUACAGAGGGCCGCUACCACGCGAGUGGAUGCCAAUCCCCAAAACCUCUCUCAGUUCGGACUGGAGUCUGCAACCCGACUCCACGAAGCUGGAUUCGCUAGUAAUCGCGCAUCAGCCACGGCGCGGUGAAUACGUUCCCGGGCCUUGUACACACCGCCCGUCAAGCCAUGGGAGCCGGGGGUACCUGAAGUGCGUAACCGCGAGGAGCGCCCUAGGGUAAAACUGGUGACUGGGGCUAAGUCGUAACAAGGUAGCCGUACCGGAAGGUGCGGCUGGAUCACCUC